CCUGCCGAAUGAAUUAGCCCUGAAAAUGGAUGGCGCUGAAGCGGGUAGCCGAAACUGUGCCGUCUGGACGAAGAUUAUGUUUCAGAUGAGUAGGAGGAACGUGGCGGUUGUAUAGAAGCGUGUGCGCAAGCAUGCGUGGAACGGCCGCUAGUGCAGAUCUUGGUGGUAGUAGCAAAUAUUCAAAUGAAAACCUUGAAGGGCGAAGCGGGGAAGGGUUCCACGCGAACAUUGAUUGGGCGUGGGUGAGUCGUUCCUAAGCCGUCUGGUAAUUGGCUAGGCACUCGGCGAAAGGGAAGCAGGUUGAUAUUCCUGCACACGGAUGUGGAUAUGCGGUGACGCACACUGGGGCGGCGAAGUCGUCGGUUGCACUGGGCAGAGAUUUCUUUUCUGUUUGACGGAGCCUGGCUGUACUCUAUGGAAUCCGCUUGUCGGGAGAAAUAGGUAUGCCACGGCAAAGCGCCGGGUUUUUAUCUGGCGUCCAGUUUGCGACUGGCGGACCAUGAAAAGCUGUCUGCUGGCAAAAUGUGCACUUUUGUGUGUGUUUUGUGUGAAAAAUUCCACGCCGUAACGUACCCAUAACCGCAUCAGGUCCCCAAGGUGAACAGCCUCUGCUCGAUAUGAACAAUGCAGGUGAGGGAAGUCGGCAAAUUAGACCCGUAACUUUGGGAAAAGGGUUGGCUCUAGUGCUGCGUAGGAGUGGUUGCCGGUUGUAGCUGCGUUUUCGGUCGCUUCUUGCCAAAGGCUGAAGAGUUGCCCUUUUUUUGGGGGUUUCUCUGCGCCAUUGCGUAGGAGUAUCGAAACUGUGGGUCCUGGUGACGCCUACAGCAUGCAGCAAACUAGAACUGCAACGGACAAAGGGAAUCCGACUGUUUAAUUAAAACAAAGCAUUGCGAAGGCCGGGCCGGUGUUGACGCAA
rnacentral:rRNA from 1 species